UACGAAGGGGGCUAGCGUUGUUCGGAAUCACUGGGCGUAAAGGGCGCGUAGGCGGCCGAUCAAGUCGGGGGUGAAAGCCUGUGGCUCAACCACAGAAUUGCCUUCGAUACUGGUUGGCUUGAGACCGGAAGAGGUAAGUGGAACUGCGAGUGUAGAGGUGAAAUUCGUAGAUAUUCGCAAGAACACCGAUAGCGAAGGCAGCUUACUGGGCUGUAACUGACGCUGAGGCACGAAAGUGUGGGGAUCAAACAGG
rnacentral:rRNA from 1 species